AACGAACGCUGGCGGCAGGUCUUAGGCAUGCAAGUCGAACGGGUGUAGCAAUACAUCAGUGGCGCGCGAGUGAGUAACGCGUGGGAAGCUGCCCUUCACUGGGGAAUAACGAUUGGAAACGAACGCUAAUACCGCAUGCGCCGGAAGCGGGAAAGAUUUAUCGGUGAAGGAUACGCCCGCGUUGGAUUAGCCGGUUGGUGGGGCAACGGCAUACCAAGGCGAUGAUCCAUAGCUGGUCUGAGAGGACGAUCAGCCACGCUGGAACUGAGACACGGUCCAGACUCCUACGGGAGGCAGCAGCUAAGAAUAUUGGACAAUGGGGGAAACCCUGAUCCAGCCAUGCCGCGUGAAUGAAGAAGGCCUUCGGGUUGUAAAGUUCUUUUAGUCGUGAAGAUGAUGACAGUAGCGACAGAAAAAGCACCGGCUAACUUCGUGCCAGCCGCCGCGGUAA
rnacentral:rRNA from 1 species